AGGACGAACGCUGGCGGCGUGCUUAACACAUGCAAGUCGAACGGUGAACCAGGGCUUGCCCUGGGGAUCAGUGGCGAACGGGUGAGUAACACGUGACCAACCUGCCCCUUGCUCUGGGAUAACCCCGGGAAACCGGAGCUAAUACCGGAUACGAGACCGUGCGGCAUCGCGCGGUCUGGAAAGUUUUUCGGCAAGGGAUGGGGUCGCGGCCUAUCAGCUUGUUGGUGGGGUAAUGGCCUACCAAGGCGACGACGGGUAGCCGGCCUGAGAGGGGCGACCGGGCCAACGACUGGGACUGAGACACGGCCCAGACUCCUACGGGAGGCAGCAGUGGGGAAUAUUGCGCAAUGGGGCGAAAGCCUGACGCAGCGACGCCGCGUGAGGGAUGACGGCCUUCGGGUUGUAAACCUCUUUCAGCAGGGAAGAAGCGAAAGUGACGGUACCUGCAGAAGAAGCACCGGCUAACUACGUGCCAGCAGCCGC
rnacentral:rRNA from 1 species